rnacentral:rRNA from 1 species
GGCGUAAGCGCGCGCAGGCGGUUCCUUAAGUCUGAUGUGAAAGCCCCCGGCCUCAUUCGGGGAGGGUCAUUGGAAACUGGGGAACUUGAGUGCCCUUUAGAAGAGUGGAAUUCCACGUGUAGCGGUGAAAUGCGUAGAGAUGUGGAGGAACACCAGUGGCGAACGCGACUCCCCCCUCUGUCACUGACGCUGAGGCGCGAAAGUGUG